rnacentral:rRNA from 1 species
UACGUAGGGUGCGAGCGUUGUCCGGAAUUAUUGGGCGUAAAGAGCUUGUAGGUGGUUUGUCGCGUCUGCUGUGAAAAUCCGAGGCUCAACCUCGGACUUGCAGUGGGUACGGGCAGACUAGAGUGUGGUAGGGGAGACUGGAAUUCCUGGUGUAGCGGUGGAAUGCGCAGAUAUCAGGAGGAACACCGAUGGCGAAGGCAGGUCUGCUGGGC